UACAGAGGUCUCAAGCGUUUGUUCGGAUUCAUUGGGCGUAAAGGGCGCGUAGGCGGCGGGGUAAGUCUGGUGUGAAAUCUCGGAGCUCAACUCCGAAAUUGCACUGGAUACUGCUCUGCUUGAGGGUUGGAGAGGAGAUCGGAAUUCACGGUGUAGCAGUGAAAUGCGUAGAUAUCGUGAGGAAGACCAGUGGCGAAGGCGGAUCUCUGGACAAAUCCUGACGUGAGGCGCGAAGGCUAGGGGAGCAAACGGG
rnacentral:rRNA from 1 species